GUGUGUGUUGCCUGCUGAGGCCAGAAGGGGCAUCAGAGCCUCUGCAGCUGGAGUUAGGGGCAGUUGUGAGCCGCGCACAAGUGCUCUUAACCACUGAGCCAUCUCUCCGGCUAGGUCUUUAAACAUUCAUAUCCUUCGACGCAUUAAUAACCACUUCUAGGCAUUUAUUUUCAAAACUGCAGAUUGACUGGCGAUGGUGGCUCACGCCUUUCAUCCCAGCACUGAGGAGGUGAAGGCAGGUGGACCUCUCUGAGUUCAAGGCCACCCUGACCUACAGAGCGAGUUCCAAGCCAUCCAGGCAUACACAGGGAGGGAAACCCUGUCUCAAAAAAGAAAAAAGGAGGAGGAAGAAGUGUAGGUAGAUAGAAUAUAUGCAUACUAUAGGAAAUUACACGCUACUAAAGAUUUUUUUUUUUAUUUAUAUAAGUAAGUGUAGCUGUCUUCAGACACACCAGAAGAGGGCAUGGGAUCCCAUUACAAAUGGUUGUGAGCCACCACAUGGUUGCUGGGAAUUGAACUCAGGACCUCUGGAAAAGCAGUCAGUGCUCUUAACCACUGAGCCAUCUCUCCAGCCCUACACAGUUGCUAAAAUAGGAUAUAAAUUAGACUUGUGUGUGUGACCCCAGCACCCUAGAGGCUGGUGGAAGAGUGCCACAGGCUUGAGCGCAGGUCACAACACACACAUUAAAUCUUUUAAAAGGCGUAAAAACACCUGGGUCCAGAAGAGAUGGUUCAGUGGUUAAGAACAUAUGCGACAGGUUGGGGAUUUAGCUCGGUGGUAGAGCGCUUGCCUAGCGAGCGCAAGGCCCUGGGUUCGGUCCCCAGCUCCGAAAAAAAAAAGAAAAAAAAAAAAGAAAUAUGCGACUCUUGCAGAGGGCUGAAUUCACAUCAAGUAGCUCAAGGACGGUCACUCCAAGCUCCUGUAGUCCGACAGAGCAACAGUGCUCUCUCCUCUCCACUUGUGCCUCUCUGUGUGUGUGUGUGUGUGUGUGUGUGUGUGUGUGUGUGUGUGUGUACACGCAUGCACACGCAUGCACAAAUGAACAUCCUAUUUUUCGAGACAGAAUCACACUGUGUUGUCGUGGCUGACCUGGAACUUACUGUGGAGAGCAGGCUGACCUCAGAUCAGAGAUCAGCCCACCUCUGCCUAACGGGUGUGCACCACCACGCCCACAAGCAAACGUAGUUGAGCACAUAAUGAAUAAUAAUGAGGCCUGUGAACACAUAGUAAGAUCAUAACAAACGAGAUACUUCCAAAUAGCUUAUGAGGUGCUUUUCCAGUGGGGUUCAGAUAAAGCUUCCCAGGGAACAGGAUGGACAUCCGGUCAUUCGAGAUCAGGGCAAAGUGCCCAGUGCUAUCCCAACGUGUAACAGGAAGUGUAAAAACCGAACAAAAUUCAUUAGGAAGGGAUUAGGAAAGACAGCAGGCAUGCGUGCCCGAGACAGACAGACAGACCGGAGCCCCCCCCCCCAUCUUGCUACUGUCUUUCAGCACCCCAGCCUGCAGCUGACUGAGGACCAGAGUGAGACAGCAAGGGGAUUGGGACACCUCAGCCGCAGCCCAGCCCCUUCGCUGCAACUCGGACCGCUACUGCCUGCCCCCCAACCCCUGGGCCCAGUCCCCGCCCUGCCAUCCCUGACGUCUGGCUCCCCUACUAACCUCCCCUGUUCUGACCUUGCCUCUUCUCCCCCCACCAACCCACCUCUCUCCCUGUUCGCUUUUAUUUAUUUUGGAUUAGCCAGUUGCCCUCCCCGCACCAGGUCUGCCCUCUCGGGUCUGCCCCAUUCCCUCCCUGCUGCCCCCUUUAGGACACCCCCCAGGAAGGCUUUUGUAUCUGAAUAGCUGGAGGGCUGGCAGAGGGGGCCUGUUCCAGACUGAGGCCCCUACCUGUUUCGUUUUUUUGUUUUUAUUCUGGCUUUUCCCUCUUUAUUCUUUUUUUUUUUUUUUAAGAAACUGUUUUUAAACUAUUUCUAGGUUUGUGAAUGUGAAGCCCCAGGCCGCAGGGGGCAAGGGGCCAGGUGCCCCCCCACCAGCUGAGAAGAAAGUGUCUAUGUGGGUGUGGGUGCCUGGCCUCCUCCCUCCAGCCUGGGAGAGGAGGGCAGGGCUGCGGGGUAGGCCAGGCCGAGCCCCUGGAACCAUCCCGUCCUGUAUCAUAUGUAAAUACUGUGAGGUGAAGCCCUACCCCUACCCUUCUCUAAGAUCCCUUGGGGUAACAGCAUUUGCCUGACCCCACAGGGCUAAGGUUUCCCCUCCCUCCCUGUCUCUGUCCCUCCCUCCUCAGACACCAUUACUGUAAGCUUGCAGACCUCAGCUCUGGCCACGGCAGGUCCAUACUCUCAGGCCCUCCCCAGGUUCAAGGCCUUGGGCGGACUCUCCCCAAAAAACCCCGGUUGGGGGGCAAGGGGCCAGGGAAGAGGAGGGCCUGCCUAGAGCCACUGCUGGGAAGGAGUUAGCUCUCCAAAGGCCCCUCCUGGCCCCUGCCUGGGUAGGACCUUCAUGGUUUCUGCUCUGAGCCCCCCACCACGAGGAGGAGGCAUUGGGAAACGCUUCAGCAAGUAGAUACCAGGAAAGCAAAGGGCUUCUCAGGGAACCCCCAAAUUCUCACUGAAGUUUCCCACCAGGACAGUCCCGCGACCAGAGCCCUUGCUAACCCCCUACUUACCCUGGAGCCCCUUUCAGAGGAAAGAGACGCUCAGGGGCUCAGGGUGUGAACGUGAAGUGAGACCUGGCGUGGCAGGGCUGAGUCUACCUGCUGUCACCCCCCUCUCUGUCCCUCCCGAGGCUGGGGGGGUUCAAGCCGCCUUCCCCAGCAGAGCCCCCAGCCUUCAAAGCCCCCUUUGGAGAGUCACUGUCCGUGUGAGGCGCUCACUCAACCAAUAAGCCCCGGGAACUCAAAGCAAUAAUCUUCAUCACCGAGACGCACGGCUGUUUGUUGUUGGGUUUUUUGGUUUUUUGGGUUUUUUUUGUUUUGUUUUGUUUUUAAUAUUUCCUAAUAAAAGAGAAGCUGCAUUUUAUCGGAUUUUAUCUUUUAAUUUUUCUACACAUCUGAGCUGAGCCCCAGGAGACUUUGGCUUCCUCUUUUUUUUUUUCUUUUACUCUCCAUCCCUGGGCCCUCUCACCCCACUGGGCCUAAGUGGGUUCAGGGACCUGGAUUUACAUUUCUGAUUCAUUCGUUUGAGGAAAAAAAAAAGAAAAACUUUCUUUUUAAGAUGUUACAUGGUGUUUUGAAGCCAGCAAGUUCCACCCCUCGGUGUCUUCCCUCCGCAUCUGUAACUUCUUUUCCAGGUUUUAUUUUGUUUUAAAUUCCUAAUAAAUUAUUUGAAAACAGCUUGCUUUUCUGUUCGUGUGCGUAUGUGGGUGAACAGGCGCUCACACACACACAAAAACAAUACCAACAAAAGGAAGUUUAUGACUCGCGAGGACCAGGUGUGCUGUCUG
ensembl:lncRNA